CCUCUCGCGUCAGGAUAUGCCUAGGUGCGAUUAGCUAGUUGGUGAGGUAAGGGCUCACCAAGGCGACGAUCCCUAGCUGGUCUGAGAGGAUGAUCAGCCACACUGGAAUUGAGACACGGUCCAGACUCGUACGGGAGGCAGCAGUGGGGAAUAUUGCACAAUGGGCGCAAGCCUGAUGCAGCCAUGCCGCGUGUGUGAAGAAGGCCUUCGGGUUGUAAAGCACUUUCAGUCGUGAGGAAGGUAGUGUAGUUAAUAGCUGCAUUAUUUGACGUUAGCGACAGAAGAAGCACCGGCUAACUCCGUGCCAGCAGCCGCGGUAAUACGGAGGGUGCGAGCGUUAAUCGGAAUUACUGGGCGUAAAGCGCAUGCAGGUGGUUUGUUAAGUCAGAUGUGAAAGCCCGGGGCUCAACCUCGGAAUAGCAUUUGAAACUGGCAGACUAGAGUACUGUAGAGGGGGGUAGAAUUUCAGGUGUAGCGGUGAAAUGCGUAGAGAUGUGAAGGAAUACCGGUGGCGAAGGCGGCCCCCUGGACAGAUACUGACACUCAGAUGCGAAAGCGUGGGGAGCAAACAGGAUUAGAUACCCUGGUAGUCCACGCC
rnacentral:rRNA from 1 species